rnacentral:rRNA from 1 species
AGUUUGAUCCUGGCUCAGACGGGACGCUGGCGGCGUGCCUAAUACAUGCAAGUCGAACGAGANNAUACCUUCGGGUAAAGUAAGAGUGGCGAACGGGUGAGUAACACGUGGAUAAUUGCCCUUCAGUGAGGGAUAACUUAUCGAAAGGUGAGCUAAUACCUCAUAAGACCACAGUGCAAAUAGCACAGGGGUCAAAGAUUUAUCGCUGAAGGAUGAGUCUGCGUCCGAUUAGCUUGAUGGUGGGGUAAAGGCCUACCAUGGCGAUGAUCGGUAGCUGGUCUGAGAGGAUGAGCAGCCACACUGGAACUGAGACACGGUCCAGACUUCUACGGAAGGCAGCAGUAGGGAAUAUUGGUCAAUGGGGGAAACCCUGAACCAGCGACGUCGCGUGUGUGAUGAAGGCCUUAGGGUCGUAAAACACUGUUGUGCGAGACGAUUAUGACGGUAUCGCAUCAGAAAGGACCGGCCAACUUCGUGCCAGCAGCCGCGGUAAGACGAGGGGACCUAGCGUUGUUCGGAAUUACUGGGCAUAAAGCGGAUGUAGGUGGAUGUUCAAGUCAGAUGUGAAAUCCCAGAGCUUAACUCUGGAAUUGCAUUUGAUACUGUUCAUCUUGAGUGUUUGAGGGGGUAGCAGAAUUCCUGAUGUAGUGGUGAAAUACGUAGAUAUCAGGAGGAAUAUCGGUGGCGAAGGCGGCUACCUGGCGAAUUGCUGACGCUGAGAUCCGAAAGCGUGGGGAGCAAACAGGAUUAGAUACCCUGGUAG